GCUGGGCAUGGUGGCAUAUCCCUACGGUCCCAGCCACUCACGAGGCUGAGGCAGAAAGGUCACUUGAGCCUAGGAGUUCUGGGCUAUAGUACACUACGCCAAUCCGGUGUUCCACACUAAGUUCAGCUUCAAUAUGGUGAUCUCCCAGUAGCAGGGGACCACCAGGUUGCCUAAGGCGGGAUGAACUGGCCUAGGUCAGAAAUGGAGCAGGUCAAAACUCCCAUACUGAUCAGAAGUGGGACUGUGCCUGUCCGUAGCCACUGGAUUCCAGCCUGGGCAACACAGUGAGACCCCAUCU
rnacentral:SRP_RNA from 10 species